rnacentral:rRNA from 1 species
UACGAAGGGGGCUAGCGUUGUUCGGAAUUACUGGGCGUAAAGCGCGCGCAGGCGGUUUUUCAAGUCAGUGGUGAAAGCCCGGAGCUCAACUCCGGAACUGCCAUUGAAACUGUAAAACUUGAGGACGAGAGAGGUGAGUGGAAUUCCCAGUGUAGAGGUGAAAUUCGUAGAUAUCGGGAGGAACACCGGUGGCGAAGGCGGCGACCUGGGUCGAGACUGACGCUGAGGCGCGAAAGCGUGGGGAGCAAACAGG